UAAUACGUAGGCAGCGAGCGUUGUUCGGAGUUACUGGGCGUAAAGCGUGCGUAGGCGGUUUUGUAAGUUUGGUGUGAAAUCUCCCGGCUCAACCGGGAGGGUGCGCCGAAAACUGCAAGGCUGGAGUGUGGGAGAGGUAGGCGGAAUUCCUGGUGUAGCGGUGAAAUGCGUAGAUAUCAGGAGGAACACCUGUGGUGUAGACGGCUUACUGGACCAUAACUGACGCUGAGGCACGAAAGCGUGGGGAGCAAACAGGAUUAGAUACCCUGGUAGUCCACGCCCUAAACGAUGCAUACUUGGUGUGGGUAAUUCAUUUUAUCCGUGCCGGAGCUAACGCGUUAAGUAUGCCGCCUGGGGAGUACGGUCGCAAGGCUG
rnacentral:rRNA from 1 species